rnacentral:rRNA from 1 species
GCCCCGGCUAACUACGUGCCAGCAGCCGCGGUAAUACGUAGGGGGCGAGCGUUGUCCGGAAUUAUUGGGCGUAAAGGGUACGUAGGCGGCUUUUUAAGUUUGACGUGAAAGCCCGGGGCUUAACUCCGGCAAGCGUUGAAAACUGGAGGGCUUGAGUGAUGGAAGGGACAGUGGAAUUCCUGGUGUAGUGGUGAAAUGCGCAGAGAUCAGGAAGAAUACCAGUGGCGAAGGCGACUGUCUGGACAUUAACUGACGCUGAGGUACGAAAGCGUGGGGAGCAAACAGGAUUAGAUACCCUGGUAGUCCACGCCGUAAACGAUGAGUGUUAGAUGUCCGAGGUAAACUUGGGUGUCACAAGCCAACGCGAUAAACACUCCGCCUGGGGAGUACGUACGCA